GAUGAACGCUGGCGGCGUGCCUAACACAUGCAAGUCGAGCGAUCUUCUUCGGAAGAGAGCGGCGGACGGGUGAGUAACGCGUGGGUAACCUGCCUCAUACACAUGGAUAACAUACCGAAAGGUAUGCUAAUACAAGAUGAUAUAAGAGAUUCGCAUGGAUUUCUUAUCAAAGCCCCGGUGGUAUGAGAUGGACCCGCGUCUGAUUAGCUAGUUGGUAAGGUAACGGCUUACCAAGGCGACGAUCAGUAGCCGACCUGAGAGGGUGAUCGGCCACAUUGGAACUGGGACACGGUCCAAACUCCUACGGGAGGCAGCAGUGGGGAAUAUUGCACAAUGGGCGAAAGCCUGAUGCAGCAACGCCGCGUGAGCGAUGAAGGCCUUCGGGUCGUAAAGCUCUGUCCUCAAGGAAGAUAAUGACGGUACUUGAGGAGGAAGCCCCGGCUAACUACGUGCCAGCAGCCGCCGUAA
rnacentral:rRNA from 1 species